AUUAGAGACUUUCGCCUCGUAAUCCGUUCCCAGGCUGUUCCUGGGGCACAGCAAUCACGCACCUUCCCCUGCCCAGGACGGCUGUAAAACAACUGCAUUGUCCUUAAAGACUAAAUCAAAGGAACAAAAGUUCUAAUGAUCCAAGGCAUUGUUUAAACAGCAAUGCUAUUGCAGGUUUACUGAGGUGAUUUCUGAGUGCCGGCCUGACAGCGAAUGCCACAGAGAGCAGCGAGUCGCCGCGAAACCAAAGUGUGUUUGUGCAGCCGCGAAAAAGAAAGAACUGGGACAAUAAUGAGCAACCAAAUAGUAACAGUGAAGGGUGCUGCUUUGCAGGAGACAAGUGACUGUUCUGAGCUCUGAAGUGCCAAUGUAAUGAAUCACAAGAGCCCACUUAAAUGAGAGCAAACAUAUAAAUUCUUCUUAUUUCAGUAUGUACAAAUACCAAAGCAAUUUUGGGUUGUUAACCUCCGCAGCUUGAGGACAAUAUGUUCAUCAUUAUUGUACAGCACUUCUCUCUUCAGAAAUUCCCAGUAUAUGGUUUUGAUGUUCCACUGCAGUGUAACGUGCGUCUGGAAGGACGCUCGAUACCAGACCACGCCGAGGAGCUCAGAAAAACGGGGAUUGUUUUUUCUUUUGUAAAUCAGCUAGUACAGGAAGCGAACUGAUCCCACACAUUGUUCCUGACAACACAGAUUGUGAAGAGAUACUAAAAAAAUCUGAAUUUUUGCUUUUACGUGGAUUCCACAGCUCCUCCUUCCCCCAGGACCCUAACAGCUUGAAGCUGACCCGGAGCGGUGCUCUGCGCUCUGCUCUGCCCCGCGGCCACAGCUGCGCGGCCACCCCACCGGCUCCGGUCCAGCCCCAGCCAGGACCACACCCGAGCGCCAGGACGGGAUCCGAACCGGAACUCACCCAAAGGACAGGGAGCAGAGGCAACUGCCUGCGGCGCGGGGCUGGCUGGGCUCACAGUGCUCCUGGUGCCACAGCCGGCGUCGCAGUGUCCUGUCCCCUGGGCCAGACACGUCACCCUGCACUCUGAUUCGAGACCCUGGCUAAUGCAAAUUCUGUCUUCCUACACAUCACUGAGGAUGGCCUGUCAAAGACAAGACACUGCACUAUCCGCCUGCUGUCGCCCCUGUGGAGAACGCCGCAGCCACGAGGGAAGGUGGAUUCAGGAACUUCAGUGCCGUCCCUGUAGAUGUGCACCAUAAAUAACUCCUGCGCUAUAAAAUCAUCUGCUAAUUGCAGCUCUGACCGAUGUGUUCGUGCAUUGCUGCCAGGUUUCUCUCUCUAUUUGUAGCCGUACCGCUGUGACGCUGCGCCUGGCUUAGGCAGAACUUGCCCCUUGGCACUCCCGACCUGAAGCACAUCGCGUGAACUGGGGUAAAACAUCGGGCACAGGACAAGAACUACGCAGAUGGCAAGAACUCUCCUCAUCCUAGGAAAUGCCUUCCCAGCUGACUGAAAGCUUCGGGACAGAUAUAUUAUAAUGGAAAUACAGAACACUCACCAACCCGCAAUGUUUACUGACUCCGAGGCACACUGGCCACCAGGAAUGGUUGCACCUGGUUCCUCGCUCUGCAUGGAUCGCUGAGAAGAGAUUUUCACCACCAUCACGAAGUCACCAG